GGAGGGUGCAAGCGUUAUCCGGAUUUACUGGGUUUAAAGGGUGUGUAGGCGGGCUGUUAAGUCAGUGGUGAAAUCUCCGGGCUCAACCCGGAAACUGCCAUUGAUACUAUCAGUCUUGAAUAUCGUUGAGGCAGGCGGAAUAUGUCAUGUAGCGGUGAAAUGCAUAGAUAUGACAUAGAACACCAAUUGCGAAGGCAGCUUGCUAAACGAUCAUUGACGCUGAGGCACGAAAGCGUGGGGAUCAAACAGGAUUAGAUACCCUGGUAGUCCACGCCCUAAACGAUGAUUACUCGACAUACGCGAUACACAGUGUGUGUCUGAGCGAAAGCAUUAAGUAAUCCACCUGGGAAGUACGUCCGCAAGGAUG
rnacentral:rRNA from 1 species